rnacentral:rRNA from 1 species
AAAGGAAUUGACGGGGGCCCGCACAAGCGGAGGAGCAUGUGGUUUAAUUCGAUGAUACGCGAGGAACCUUACCUAGACUUGAACGUAUUUGGAAUAAUUUGGAAACAGAUUAGCCAGCAAUGGCCAUUUACGAGGUGCUGCAUGGUUGUCGUCAGCUCGUGCCGUGAGGUGUUAGGUUAAGUCCUGCAACGAGCGCAACCCUUACCGUUAGUUACCAGCAUGUUAUGAUGGGGACUCUAGCGGAACUGCCGGCGCAAGCCGCGAGGAAGGUGGGGAUGACGUCAAAUCAGCACGGCCCUUACGUCUAGGGCGACACACGUGCUACAAUGGGUGGUACAGAGGGCAGCUACUAUGUGAAUAGAUGCUAAUCUCAAAAACCAUUCUCAGUUCGGAUCGGAGUCUGCAACUCGACUCCGUGAAGUUGGAUUCGCUAGUAAUCGCUCAUCAGCCAUGGAGCGGUGAAUACGUUCCCGGGCCUUGUACACACCGCCCGU